rnacentral:rRNA from 1 species
UACAGAGGUCUCAACCGUUGUUCGGAUUCAUUGGGCGUAAAGGGUGCGUAGGCGGUCGUGCAAGUCGGAUGUGAAAUCUCAGGGCUCAACCCUGAAACUGCAUUCGAUACUGCGCGGCUAGAGUGCUGGAGGGGAGACUGGAAUUUACGGUGUAGCAGUGAAAUGCGUAGAUAUCAGGAGGAACACCGGUGGCGAAGGCGGAUCUCUGGGCCUUACCUGACGCUCAGGUGCGAAAGCUAGGGGAGCGAACAGG